CCCGCCCUCGAGCCCUGCCCUCUGGCAACGAAGAAGCUCAAGUGAAUGUCCGGGAACCAGCUGAGCGCACCCAGACUGGGGAAUGCCAACGAGGAUCCCCGAACCACCGCGGCCAAAGCUGGAAUGAAUCUCGUGCUGGGCAUACAACCCAGGGUUCUCAUGCAUGCUAGGCAAGCACUCUAUCCCUACAUCCCUGGCCCCUGUAUGUGUACUUGAAAUACAAACCUCAUCAACCCAAGUUAUCUAGGUCAAGAAGUUAGAAGUAUUUGUUCAGAGUCUCAACUAUCUUCAUAUGCAGGCAUCUCCGCAGUUUUCCUGGUUUUUCCACAAGCUACAGAAUAGCUCCUUCAGUUCCAGGCACUAGAGGAAAAAGAAGAAAAGAAGGCAAGAAGAAGAAGAAACCAGUGCCAGAAAUAUCUGUCCAUUUUUAUCAGGAAAGCAAAAGUUUCCCCAGAAUUUUUCAUCAUAAGGCCUCUUCUCACUGCAGACUAGGCUAAGAUGGCAUUUAGGUUAACAAUGUAGAGGGAAUCCAGAACAGGUGCUAAGGUGCCUUUUCUUUGCUUCUAGUCCCAUUUCACCACUUAAGAACUCUGUCCCAUUUCUAAGCCCCAUUCCCUCUUUCAAGGUACAACUGUGACCCCUCAUUCUCUCAAAAAAAAAAAAAAAAAAAAACCCAAAGCAGUGAGACUUGCUCUGUCUGAGCCAAGGCCCCCA